CUGCACUGCAGGCAGAUUCUUUACCAGCUGAACCACAAGGGAAGCCCUGUUGGAUGAGCAUCCCCAACUGUACCCUCCGUAAAGGCUGGGGUGAAGUAAGAAGACCCGGUGACUCCAGUGUCUGUCCACAGCUGGUGGCACACCAAGUCUGGAUAAGUUACAGACUAGGAGCCAGAAUCCUGUGAUGUACAGAGAUGACCAGCACAUCAAAUCCUAGACCAGAGACCAAGCCAUAGGAACCAACAGGCCAGAGAAUACUGGAUGGGAGUUGGCUUAAAGGCAGUGGCCAAAUAACAAAUCUGAAUGUACCUGUAGCAAGCAAUGAUAUUGAACCAUUCAUUUAAAGACCUUCCCAAAGAGGGAAGUCCUGGGCCUCCUGGUUUCAUCAGUGAAUUCUAUCAAAGGUUUAAAGAAGAAAUAGCACCCAUCCUUCACAGAUUCUUCCUGAAUAGACAGGAGGGAGGAGGAAACAUUUCCUAAUUCAUCGUAUAAGCACAGUAUUACCCAAUUACCAAAGCCAGACUUGACAUCACCAGAAAGCUACAGAUCCAUAUCUAUCAUGAAUAGUCAUGCAUACACCCUCAACACAGUAUCAGCAAACCAAAUCGAGAAACAUUUUGCCAAGGGCUCUGCGAGAUCUUUCUUUGGGAUUGGAAUGAAAACUGACCUUUUCCAGUCCUGUGGCCACUGUUGAGUUUGCCAAAUUUUGUGUCAUAUUGAGUGCAGCACUUUCACAGCAUCAUCUUUCAGGAUUUGGAAUAGCUCAACUGGAAUUCUAUCGCCUCCACUAGCUUUGUUCGUAGUGAUGCUUUCUAAGGCCCACUUGACUUCACAUUCCAGGAUGUCUGGCUCUAGGUCAAUGAUGACACCAUAGUGAUUAUCUGGGUCAUGAAGAUCUUUUUUGUACAAUUCUUCUGUGUAUUCUUGCCAUCUCUUCUUAAUAUCUUCUGCUUUUCUUAGGUCCAUACCAUUUGUGUCCUUUAUCGAGCCCAU
ensembl:lncRNA